UUGAAGUUGAUUCGGGUUGUCGCUGGCUCUCAGGAGCAUGUGCACGCUCGUUCAUAUUCAUAUUCUCUUGUGCACCUUUAGCUAGACUAUUGAAUACCUCUCGGGUGAAAAUCUCGGAUGGAGUGAUGCAUUUCGGUGCUUCUCUUACAUUUUCAUAGUCUAUGCCUUCAUAUACUCUUUUGUAUGUUUUAGAAUGUUCUUUUUGUGGGUUCUUGUGACCUAUAAAAUGUCAGUA
rnacentral:misc_RNA from 1 species